AAAAAAAGUUUUAUUCCAAAUUGCUGAAAUUAACAACAUUUUAGUAGAUAUAACUGCACAGUUCUCUAAUGAUCCAGAAGAAGGUUUUACACAUUAAGUUCAUCUGAAAUUUAUAAAAUUUCAGAUGAACUUAAUGUUUUGAAAAGAAAAAUUGCAAAUAUAGAUAUCCAAUACAUCGCUUUUGUAUUAGUAAAACAGUUAUCAUUAAUAAGCGGUAAAAAAUCGAGUAGAUACAAUUAAAAAUAUUUUGCUCUUACUACCAACAGACACUAUUUUGUCCGAAUACAGCAUGAAUGGUCUAAAGAAGAAAAAAAAGUUUAAAGAUUUGACAAGUCUAUGUAAUGCUGAAACUGCUUUAAAGUCAAAUAAAAACAAAAUGGAUGCCAUCCAUCCAACUUAUUGGGAGAGUAAUUAGGAAUUCUUCUGACCGAUUAAAGAAAACAUCCACUAAUAUGAAUAUCGAUCAAUGAUCGGCUUAAUUAGCUGUUGUAUUUUUUAUUUAUUUUCCAUUUUUCAGCAAUUUUCUUCUAUUUAUA
rnacentral:lncRNA from 1 species